CAGUCGCCGCGGUAAUACGUAGGUGGCAAGCGUUGUCCGGAAUUAUUGGGCGUAAAGGGCUCGCAGGUGGUUUCUUAAGUCUGAUGUGAAAGCCCCCGGCUCAACCGGGGAGGGUCAUUGGAAACUGGGAAACUUGAGUGCAGAAGAGGAGAGUGGAAUUCCACGUGUAGCGGUGAAAUGCGUAGAGAUGUGGAGGAACACCAGUGGCGAAGGCGACUCUCUGGUCUGUAACUGACGCUGAGGAGCGAAAGCGUGGGGAGCGAACAGGAUUAGAUACCCCAGUAGUCCCUGUCUCUUAUAC
rnacentral:rRNA from 1 species